AAAAAACUGUUUUCUCAUGGACUUUGCCACAUUAGUGAGCUGACUUCAGACUGGUUGGCCAAGGCCGAAGAUGCUUUUAAAGUCGGUGAUCGUGUUGAUGUUAAACUUAUCGAGGUUAAUGAUAGGGGACAACUUCGCCUUAGCCGCCGUGCACUUCUUCCUGUUCUUGAAAUUUCAGAGGAUCCCAGUUCAAAGCAGCUUACUGACAACCAAACUGGUGUAAUUGUUGCCGAUUUUGGUAAAGCAUCUGAUGAAGGUACACC